rnacentral:tRNA from 1 species
GGAAGUGGCUCAGUGGUAGAGCACUUGCCUAGCACGUGCAAGGUCCUGGGUUCGAUCCUCAGCUCCA